rnacentral:lncRNA from 13 species
AAACACCUGCAGUGGGCUACUGUUUCAGCUGGAUGAGCCAUCACAUAACGUACCUCAAUAAUGGCACUAACGUCGUCUCCGAGAAUUUGGUGUGUUUUGUGUCCUCUCUGACACUCACACCAUAGGUAGGACAUAUGCAGAGCUCAUAUUCUAUACAUUUAGGUGAAAGCACUUCGGAAUCGGGUGACCAACACGACAGCGCGAGGCAGCCUAAGGAAUGAGAAAGUUACCGGGAUGCGCUGACCAACCUGGAGGGGAUUCGGGAAGAGCCAGCACACCUGAGUGGAUUGGAGAGGGAACAGCUGGCUCAAGUGUUGAGUAUCACUCAGCUUGAUGCAGCAUAAAAUAUACCAGAAACCUAAACCACUGAACCUUUCACAUCUGGUUUUCCUACUUUAAACAUCAAAGACUUCAAUUUUUUUUCUUUUUCUUUUCUGUUCUCUGUAUAAUG